AUUGAACGCUGGCGGCAUGCCUUACACAUGCAAGUCGAACGGCAGCACGGGGGCGAACCCUCGGUGGCGAGUGGCGAACGGGUGAGUAAUACAUCGGAACGUGCCCCGUACGCGGGGGACGAACCAGUCGAAAGACUGGCUAAUACCGCAUACGCUCCACGGAGGAAAGACAGGGGAGUCGCAAGACCUCGCACUAUGGGA
rnacentral:rRNA from 1 species